UUUUUUUUUUUUUUUGCUUUUUAGGGUUGCACCCGUGGCAUAUGGAGGAUCCCAGGCUGGGGUCUAAUUGGGGCUGCAGCCGCCGGCCUAUGCCAGAGCCACAGCAACGCAGGAUCCGAGCCACAUCUGAGACCUACACCACAGCUCACAUCAAUGCCGGAUCCUUAACCCACUGAGUGAGGCCAAAGGUUGAACCUGCAAGUUCAUGGUUCCUAGUCGGAACUCCAGAAUGUCGACCAUCUUUUCCUGUGUUUAUAGCCAUCUGCAUACCUUCUUUGGAAAAAGAAGUCUAUUCAAAUUUUUUGCCCACUUUUAAAUUGGUUGUCUCUUUCUUGUUGAGUAAGUGUAUCUUCAUUUCUCCAUCCAGGAGUGGAACUGCUGGAUCACAUGAAAGCCCUUUAUGCAUUUAAUUCUUUGAAAAGCUGCCAGACUGUUUUCAAAGGCAGCUGCACCAUUUUACAUUCCCCCCCUGCAGCGUAUCUGGUUCCAGUUUCCCCACACUCUCACUCUGUGUUAUCUCUUAUCUGUCCCCUUGCUUGUAGCCCUUUCAGGAGGAUGCAGUUGUAUCUCAAUGAGGAUCUAAGCUGUAUGUCUCUGACUGCUAACGAGGUUGACCAUCUUUUUAGGUACUCAUUGGCCACUCGGGGAGCUUCUUUGAAAAAACUCUAUUCAGAUCCUUCCUUUGCCUAUCCCUUAGGUUGUGAAAUUUAUUUUGCUUUUUGAUAGCUCUGUGCCAACAGAUUAAGCUGUGCAUCUAAGCUAGGAUUUUUCCAGAGAACACUAGUCUUUAUCAUAGGGAAUUCAUCAAGGCUUUCAAAGAGUUAGCAUCUACUCAGAAGUCAUGUCAUAUGGUAUAAAUGCAGAUUUGAUUCAGCACAGACUCCCUAAGAAGAAAUUUUAUUGAAAUUUUGCUUUCAAAUUUUGAAGCAAAUCCACAAUGGGACAACAUGGGACUUGAAAGUAGCUUAGUUUUUAGCUGAGUGCUAAGGCAUUACCUAGGUGAAGUGCGAUAACAUUAAUUGUAAGCGACAAAGUACAAAGUUUUACAUUGAUUAUUUAGACUCAUGUUUAAAAAUACAUAAGCAAGUGAUCGCUGUAGUUAAUGACAUUAACAUAAAAUUGAAUAUGAUUCAACUUUCAGUAAUGAUGGGAUAAUUAAAAUUAUACUUUUAGCUAAAAAUAAUGCUUUUAAUUCUUCAUAGCUCUUUCCAUAAGCAAUAUUGAACAAAACAAGCAGGUUAAAAGCAUAACCUACAAAACAUCCUUAUUUUACAUGAAAUGUGAAAACCCCCAAAUCCACAGUGAAAUAAAUACGCAGAACUGUGGGGCUCUACAACAUUUCGUUAGUGAAGAUCCUCAGGCAGGGUAGGGCCAGGAAAGAAGAUGACGACAUGGAAAGAUGCUGGCCUGGAUGUCUGCAGACAAAGGUCUAUCACAGAGAGUCAAUUACUUCACCUUUUCGGACCUCAGUUUCCAAAUCCAUAAAAUGAAAAGAUGUAGCUGGAUGGACAUCUGAGGCCCAUCUCUACACGUCCUAUUAAUCUACAGUGACCAAAGGGCAUGGCUGGUGGAUUGGAUGGCAUUUUCUAAGGAAAAGUAAGUCCAAUGAGGCAAGAUCGUUCCAAAUCGGGGAGUCAGAUCCACUUUAGAAUAAGAAAAACUGUCCAUACAAACAGUCUAAUCCCCUAAUGGUUUGUUCAAUUGUCCGGCUGUGUGUGUGUGUGUGUGUGUGUGCAUGCACACACGUGCACACGCACAUGCACACACACAAAGCUAGCACUUUCCAAGUUUUGAUGCUAUUUCACAAAACAGUUGUGUCCCAAAUACUUGGAAAACAACAGGUUCAGCAAAGUUGUGGCAGACCCUUUUAGCUGCUUAACCAAAACCCAUUCUCUCCUUUUUUUCUCCAUUUAACAUCAUUUUAGUUUGAUUUGAGGCGGCAGGAUGUCUGGACUGUGGACUGUGACCAGCCUAGGUUUAUCAUUGUAGUCCUGCUCUCUGCUCCCUCAGCCUCCCUGCAGCUACGGGUGGCAGGGGGCCAAAUCGCUUUAUGGCCAUGGAAGUCUCUUCUUCCAGAAGUACCUCCAGGGAUUACUUUUCCGGGGCCUAUGUUUUGGGAUUAUUGACACAGACUAACUUAAUUACAUAGUGGACAGAAGAAUAUACUCCCUGGCCAAUCCUGCCAGAAUGUUACUCAUCUUUUAGGCGUUUCUCCCAUAUAACAUUUAUUCCAGUUUCUCUCAAUAAAUAAAAAUCUGUAAUUCAUUCACAUACUGGAACUUACCUUGGCCCCAUUUUUGGAAAGGAUUGAAAAUGAAGGGGAAAAAAAUCUGUUGGCUAAGGAGGAACAUGUCUACUAAGUUUCUUGUCUAGCACAAGGCUACAGAACUCAGGAAUUCGUAUUUUCUGAGUACACAAAACAUAACACGCAUGUGAAUCAACCUUUUAGAUGUAGCUGUCCUGUCAAACUAAAAAAAAAAAAAAAAAAAAAAAGCCUGGAAUCUAGUGACUCUCAGUUCUGUGUACCAAAAUCACCUGUGAUGCUGUAAAAAGAAAAUUAUAAGUGCCUUCCAUGCACUGCACACCCCUUCCGACUUAAUAGGUCUGGAGGUGGCUCAGGCAUCCAUCAUUUUCAAAGCCCCAGGGUGACUCUGACUGGUGGCCAAGGUUGAAGUGCAGUGCUUUAUAAAUCACAGAGGCUGCGACGGUUCAAGAUGUUCAAGGCGAAUAAAGCCUUAAGCCGCGGUGGAAACCACCUGCUAAGCGGUACCAGUUGGGUCUGGAACUCAGCAGCUGGGUGACUCUGGGCAGAUAAAACUCUGGGCCUUAAAGAGUCCUUCCAAAGAGGUGAACUUUUGCUAUGGAUGUCCACGCCGAACGUUUAUAAAAGCACAUGUAGAAUUACAAAGGUGCUUGGAAACGUUUCACGUAGUAUUUAAUCUGAGUAUCGUGUCAUGGAAGAUCCCUUCCCUGCCCUGUUCGCAGGGAAAAAUCUACUGUUCCUUCCAACGGGAUAGGAAAUUUCAAUCUGCGAGGCCUUCCCUGACCCACCCACCCAGAAGUGUUACCUUGACCGGGUUUCUGGGGCAGGUUCUCCAUCUCCCCUCCACACUGGCCUCGUUACCUGCCACCCCCGGCGCCACUGGCACACUAUGGGCGCCUGCACAAGCAGGGGGUCUCGGUCUUUUCAGUACCCCCCGUGACGGGCGAUGUCAGCGGAGACGAACCCAAGGGCCGUCGCUCGCCUGAGCACGGACGCCAGGGAAACGACCCUCCCCGAACUCGGUUAUGCAGCCCGUUUCUCUUCCCAAGGCCGAAUCUCUCUCCCUCCUGCACUGUGACUGUGGUCCUCCGACCCCGAAACCCCCCGAGGGAGGCCGCGAGGGCUGCCGAGACGCGCCCUCCCAACCACCACACGGGCGACAACUGGCUGGCAACCCGCUCGACAGGUCAGGGGUCAGGAGGCGGAGCCAGGAGCCCAGGCGUCGCUCCAGCGCGCGAAGUCUUAAACCCUACACGCACCUUCCUCAUCCCGAGAUGCUCGGACGACUCCCCGCUGUGGCUCAGGGACCAGGCCCCCGAGGUCGCCGGUCCCUGCCUCUGACAGCGAACGCGGGAAAGCUGUAACCGCCCGGACGGGAAGGUGGCGGCACCGACCCCAGGGCGUCUCCUCCUGCCGGCGCCUCAGGGAUCCCAGGAGGCCCUGCCCACCGUCCGACACCCCUGGGGUCCGGCCAGGCAGGCGGCCCUC
rnacentral:lncRNA from 1 species